CAUUAAUGAGAGAAGAUUAAAUCACACAAACACUGUCACUGGUACUUGUACAUCACCAAACUACUGUUUUGGAAUCAGGAAAAUUCCCGUGUUCCAAACGAAAUCUUACAUGAUUUAUUCCUGACAUAUAUCAUCAUCAGUAUUUUGGUUCCUGAAAUGAGGUGUCUCAGGAUAUCUGGGAUAUGGAGAUCAGCAGCAGCAGAGGCACUCGAGGCAGCACUCGCAGGUCUCGUAGCAGCAGAAGCAGCAGCACAGGGUGAACAGGCUGUGAAAGAGAGAGAGAGAGAUAUCACAGGUAAACUGAGGAAAAAGGUGUCAAAAAGGUGAAGUCCUCUUGCUCAGGGCAAAAAAAAUUCACAUGAUCUUUUUUUGGGGGGACAUGAAAAUGACCACUAACCACUUCAGCUAAUCCAUGUCUGAAUCUAGUAGGAGUAUGUUGAAUGCUCACAUGAUGCAGAGAAAUCAGCUUGUCUGAAGAAAUUACAUGAACUAUUUGAUGGUUUGGGAUUUCGAAUUUGUGCAGAAAUGUCGAGCAAGGCAUCCAAAAUGAAGAACAGAUAUGCCAAGUUAUUACUUUGUUACACACUUCAUAUCACAUCCAAAUUAAGCACAUAACAUAAACAGUUGGUCUAAAAGAUGAGAAAGACAUGACAGAAAAGAGGAUCACCAUGCAUAGAGGCAGCCCUUGUCCUCAUGGCGCUUCUUGACAUGGUCGGAGUAGGACAUGUCCUGCAUCGCCGGAGGAUUAUACAUCUUGCCGCACUGCGGUCGCCGGAGACGAAGACGACGACGACGACGAGGAAGAGACUAGCAAAGGAGAUGGAAGGUACUACUACCACCAGUAGCUCUCGAGC
rnacentral:lncRNA from 1 species